GACAAACGCUGGCGGCGUGCUUAACACAUGCCAGUCGAACGGAAAGGCCCUGCUUUUGUGGGGUGCUCGAGUGGCGAACGGGUGAGUAACACGUGAGUAACCUGCCCUUGACUUUGGGAUAACUUCAGGAAACUGGGGCUAAUACCGGAUAGGAGCUCCUGCUGCAUGGUGGGGGUUGGAAAGUUUCGGCGGUUGGGGAUGGACUCGCGGCUUAUCAGCUUGUUGGUGGGGUAGUGGCUUACCAAGGCUUUGACGGGUAGCCGGCCUGAGAGGGUGACCGGCCACAUUGGGACUGAGAUACGGCCCAGACUCCUACGGGAGGCAGCGGUGGGGAAUAUUGCACAAUGGGCGGAAGCCUGAUGCAGCAACGCCGCGUGCGGGAUGACGGCCUUCGGGUUGUAAACCGCUUUCGCCUGUGACGAAGCGUGAGUGACGGUAAUGGGUAAAGAAGCACCGGCUAACUACGUG
rnacentral:rRNA from 1 species